rnacentral:rRNA from 1 species
CCUACGGGUGGCAGCAGUGAGGAAUAUUGGUCAAUGGCCGAGAGGCUGAACCAGCCAAGUCGCGUGAGGGAAGACGGCCCUACGGGUUGUAAACCUCUUUUGUCGGGGAGCAAAGAGAGUCACGUGUGACUCAUUGAGAGUACCCGAAGAAAAAGCCUCGGCUAACUACGUGCCAGCAGCCGCGGUAAUACGGAGGAUGCGAGCGUUAUCCGGAUUUAUUGGGUUUAAAGGGUGCGAAGGCGGAGGUGCAAGUCAGCGGUCAAAUGUCUGGGCUCAACCCCUGCCUGCCGUCGGAACUGGGUGCCUUGAGUGGGCGAGAAGUAUGCGGCAUGCGUGGUGUAGCGGUGAAAUGCAUAGAUAGCACGCAGAACCCCGAUUGCGAAGGCAGCAUACCGGCGCCCUACUGACGCUGAGGCACGAAAGUGCGGGUAUCGAACAGGAUUAGAUACCCUAGUAGUC